rnacentral:lncRNA from 1 species
AAAGAAAAUAUAAAACAAAACGAAAAUAAAGGAGAGAAAAACACCUGAGCUUUUAUGGGAAAGAUGAUGGCGUGACAAACUUUGGGCCUUGACAAACUACAUACGUGGCAACUGUUGGGUUUGAAACCCAACUUGCAAAACAAAGGUCCAAUAUGAACAUUGGAUUCCUGUGAGAUGGUUGAAUGGGAUGUAGCUGGCAUCCUAAUUUGAAAAUGGUGUUUGCAAGUUCCCAAGUCUGAAGAAGAAAAGUCGUUAUCAGUCCUCAGUCUUUGUCAGUCAUUCUACCCAGAGCCAACGACUCUUUACCUCGCCAUUUGAAAACCACCCUCCUCAGAAAGGCACAUAGCUCUUCCCAUGUUCAAAACUCUCAAACCCAGCCAUCAAUUCAAACCUCCCUUUCACAGCAGCUCAUUCGUUCUCUAUAAGCGCUGCAUCCGUAGCCUUCCAUAAUCCAGCAACAAACACACCUCCGUGAGUACCUAGCCGUGGUGGAAAAUCGGAAAAACUAAAACCCAAAGGUAAAAUCAUCCUCCAAUCUUUUGGUUUCAUUGUCAGAUUUAUUUGUUUUAGAGAAAUGGAACAAGAACUAACACAUGCACGUGGUUUUAUCGGUGUGAGGACCCCUCAUGGUUGCAAAUCCGAGCCGAUCUACUCCAUUCGCUUGUCUCUGCUGAAACCCGAAACCCUUCAGCUUCUACCAUGGAAAUAGGAAGGUAAGAUCCAUGCAUCUAUUUAACUUUACUCGAGCAGCUCAACACGGUUGUUUUUAUGUCUCAGAUACUCCAUGCUGCAUGUGUAAGUAUGUUUAUUUUGUUUGUGGGCACAGGUCCUCGAUCUAGAAGCUUAACAAUGACAAGGAAAAUGAAAACCAGCUACGACAUUGCAGAUCCUGGGCUUGCAGAGGUAAAACUGUUGUUCUCCACCAGUGAUGAAACCCCAUUUCUGAAAGUGCUUCAUCAUUACCCCCUGUAUGUGUCAUAACUCAUAAAGAUGUGUUGUUUUUAUUUUUAUUUUUACAGGGCACUUGGAUUCCUGACAUAUCCGAGAAAAAGGACAUGUUGACGGUGCGGAUCCACUGGACAAAAAGCACGGCACCUUGCAAAGGUCUUGAUCUGUCGAUAUGGAAGGUAUACACUCAUCCUUCCAAACUAAAUAAGUGACAUUUUUUUUCAUUUGUUGAAUGCAUCAAAAUUUUUGCUUCGGUACUGGAUUUGCAACAACCACCCCCAAACUUGCAUAUUUGAUUGAGCUUAUGUGAUUGCUUGAAAUUCCAGUAUAAUGUAGAUGUGGUUUAUGUGAAUGUAAACUUGCUGCUGGGUGCAUGAUUCCAGCAUAGGAUAAACUGUCUCUAUUUUCCCUUAGUUUCCAUGAGUGCACCCUACAAUUAACCAAUAUAAGCGAAUAUUAAAAACGGAGCUAAAAUCAACUGCGUAAAUAAAGAAAGCAAAAUAUUUUUGGAUUUUUCACGUUUUAAUUUUUUAAUUUUUUAAUUUUUAUAAUCUGUAUUUUUUUAUUAAAACUUAGGUAUGUAAAUCCAUCCAGAAAUUUAAGUAAUAAUAGAAAAAAAUCAAACGAAAAAUAAAAUAAGGAAAGAGUUUAGAAAAAUUGGGUUGCCUCCCAACAAGCGCUUUAUUUUAAGUCUGUAGCUAGACGUUGUAAAAGCGUGGUGGUCAAAUCACUGGUUCUUUCAAAGUCAAAGACUCCCUUGCACCAAAUUUCCCUAUGCAUGGUUUAAGUUGAUGUUUGGUAACCUUAAAUGGGAAAUCUUUGCCCUCAGCUGUGAUUUCUACAUUACCAUUUUGAAAAACUUUAGUAACUAGAAAAUGACCUUUCCUUGAGACUCUUGUCUCCCUGGAAUUAACUUAAAACUGGAAUUUAAUAGCCACACCUUUCUACUAGGUUGUAUUUUCUUAAAAUUUGGGCUGCCUGGCAAAUUGUCAUGUUUUUUCUUAAUGUUAAUCGGCUGGACAUUAUGUUGCACACUUUGCUGUUGCAAUUUAGGACUAAUGCAAUCACGAAUCAAAUUUGGAGGCUUUAUGGACAGAUGGUCAGUUGAUGAUCUGGUUAUAAAAUCAACACUAGGUAAACCAUCUAAUGCAUCAACACGCAUGCAUUCUUGCUUAUCACCUAAAUGUAUGCUUUCUUCAAACAACCUAAAAACAACUAUUUGAUCUUCGACCCGAAAUGUUAGUGUUCCGGCUUCAACAUCAAUAAGAGUCCGGGCUGUUGCUAGGAAUGGGCGGCCCAAGAUGAUGGGUGUUGUCAAAUCCUCAUCCAUGUCUAACACCAUAAAAUCAGCUGGUAAAUAUAAUUUGUCAACCUUCACAAUAACAUCUUCAAUGAUCCUUCUAGGAUAGGUAAUUGAACGGUCAGCCAAUUGAAUAAUGUUGGAGGUUGGCUUUAGCUCUCCUUCACCUAAACGUUUAAAAACAGAAUAAGACAUUAAGUUUACAUUAGCACGUAAUUCAAUUAAAGUACUACUAAAAUCACAAUUUCCAAUGGUGCAAGAGAUAGUAAAACUCCCUGGAUCUUUUUUCUUUAGGGGAAACUUAUGUAAUAAAACUGCGCUACAGUUCUUUAAGAAUCACUUUUUCAAAAUCAACGAGCUUCUUUUUCUUUGAGCAAACGUCCUUAAAAAACUUGGCAUAAUAUGGAAUGUUCUUGAUUGCAUCAGUUAAUGGAAGAUUAAUUUGAACUUUAGCCAAAGUCUUCAUAAAAUCUGUCAAUUGUUGAUCAUUAGCUUUACGCUUCAACCUUUCGAGAUAAGGCAUAGAAGGCACAUAAACACGUUCUGCAAUUUUUGUGGUAGCUUCUGCAAUAUUUUCGGAUUUAUCUAGUGGAAGCCCAAAAUCUGCAUAAAUUGCAGAUUUAGUUUGGGGCUGUUCUGCUGCCUGAGAAUUUCCAGCGCAAUUUUCAUGUCUAUUGUCAUAACUUUUGCUAGACUGUAAAGUUCGUACAGCAUUGCAUUCUUCUCGUCCUCUUGGAUUAGGUACUGUUUGACUAGGAAAUGUACUCGAUGCUCUUUCUGAAACCUGCAACGCAAUCUGCUCAAUUUGUUUUUCCUUAUUUUUCAUUGAUGCAUGCAGAUUUUGGAUUUCUUGACUGGUAGUAUUAGCUAAUUUUUCAAUUGCAAUUUCCCAAGUAGCCUUAGGUGCCUUAGGUUGCUGUAAUUGUUGUUGAAAUUGUGGCAUUGCAAGCUGAUCACUAUCCCACUUUAAAUUACAAUGAUCUCUCCUACCCGGGUUGUAGAAAUUUGAAUAUGGGUCAUAUCAGGGACGCUGAAAAUUACUGAAUGCAUUAACCAACCUGCUAAGCUGUAAACUCAGGAAAAACAUCUUUAUGUGGACAGGUCAUAAAAUCAUGAGUUGUCAUGCUUCAAAUGCUGCAGGCAGCUUGUAAGGGCUGCUGUACAACAACCUGUGAACCUGGAAUUCUUUGUAAUAACAUGUCAAAUUUUACAUCAAAUCUUUCAAGGUUUUUCUCCAUUUUUUCAAUUUGUGCCGACACAUAUGGUGAACCAUUAGACAUCUCAAAAACAGACUUAGAUUGUGGCUGCUUAACUGCCCAUUGCUGUGUAUCUGCUACCAUUUUUUCAAAUAAUAAACAAGCCUCUUGUGCAGUUUUAUCCUUGUACGAACCUCCGCAUGAAGCGUUGACAAGGGUUUUUAUUGUCAUAUUUAACCAUCUGAAAAAUAUAUGUAUCUGAUCA